UUUAUUUUCGGACCAUCCCGCCAGAAUACCAGCUGCAAGAAGACCAAGACCUCGUCUGUCCUGAUUCCUGCAGAGACCCUAGGACAGCGCCUAGCACCCAAGAGGCACUUAUUUCGUGUUUAUUGAAUGGACCAAGACUCUGCGAAUUGGCCAACCAGAGCCUGGCCAAAGAGCAGUGUGGCUGGCUGAGCGUGGGUGUGUGAAGAGGAGACUCUGCUGCCCAGAGGGACAGGGAGAGAGUAGCCACUCCACCUGCAUUCCAACCUUGAGGAACCGUGUGGCCGCGGAGGAGCCACAGCCCUCGGCUUUCUGUUUCACUAGAUGGGAACCGUUAGGCUUGCUCUCAGGACCGUCUAGAAGAUUGAAUAAUAUCGUAGCGAGUUCCCAGGACAGACCCAAGAUUCCCAGAAUGUCAGCACUGGAAGAAACGUCAGAGACCAUUUAGCCUGGCUCCUGAUUUGGCAGAGGGGGACACCAAGGGCAAUGGGCUGUCCAUAUUUCACUGUGUUCCCUCCCAGCACUCAUUUAAGAGGUUAUGAAUCUUCAGCCCUCAGAUCUUAAUGCUGCCUGGAUCAUCUUAACUCCAGGGGAGAAGUCUGGCUUCCAAGGUGGACUUCAAGGCAGCAGUGAGGCUGCAGAUAGGGUCUGAGGGCCUGCUGGGAACUGGCCAUGUGCAGAGGACAAAACAGUCCUUCCCUGCCAGGGUACUGAGCGACCCACACAAUGAAACCCUGUGAGCAUCCCCACUCCCCUUAAGAGCCCAUUAAGAUGAUGCAUUAGGUCAUCCAGGGAUUUACCUAGAGCAUAUUUUUAACUCCAGUUGACAGCUACUGCAUCUGCCUGGCCAGGGAGCCUUCUCCCUUCUGGUAACUGCACGCUUCUUUGCUUUAUGGGAACAGUCCCCCUCCAGGGGUUCCAAUAGGGCUGUCGUCAAUCAGAGGGCUCUAAGGGUCCUGCUACCGGGCUGGGUUUUUGUGACCCAGAUCCAAUUUGGUCAGUGGUCCGUGAUAGUCAUGUGACCCAAACCGUCCUUUUAGGAGAGUAAGAUAAAUACCCAGGGGAGAGACGGUGUUCCUGGCUUCUCUGAGGCAAGCUGUGGGGUGACGCAAGCCCAGCACUGGCAGAAGCUCAGCUGCCACAAGGAGAAAGGCUUCCCGAGAAAGCUGUCAGCACAACGGAGAACAGAACCUAGGACAGGAUCCAGAGCCACGGGCCAAGGCCAGCGAUGAGCCUCCGGACCCCUAGGUGUAGUUCGGGUUGGAUUUCUUCAUGUGCUGAAGUGCUUCUGCCUGAGGCCACUGAAUCCACAUUGUCUUCCGAGGUUAUAAGUCCCAGUGACUCCCUGCCACAGGCAAGUGCACCUCUUUGCAGGAAGGAUCCUAAACUGACCAUGUUAGUGAUGUGGGGAGCUCAAACUCAGGGCUGUGAAUGCUAGGCAAGUGCUCCAGCCCKAGCCACAGCCCCAGUCCCUAAGCUGACCCUUAAGCUUCAAGAGAAUAUCUUCAUUCUGAUUAAUGUAUUUGGAGCCUUCCCUCUGCCAGGUGGGUAGGUGUUCAGUCAUUUAGUUACCCCAACAAUUUUUUUGAAAAGUGUUUUUUUUUUUAUUGUUAGCCCUAAUUUAGAGAUAAAGAAACUGAGGCUUCUAAUGGUCAAGUACCUUCACUUAGUAACUGAAUG